UCCCUGGUGGUCUAGUGGCUAGGAUUCGGCGCUUUCACCGCCAUGGCCUGGGUUAAAUUCCCGGUCAGGGAA